rnacentral:lncRNA from 1 species
CAUGUUUGACUCCGUUCCAUUGGUUCCAUUCCAGCCAUUACAAUUAGUCCAUCCUCCUAUAGCUCCUCCCACCGGCCUCCUCUGAGAUAGACAUGGCUUUAAAUUUGUAGGUGGCUUAAUUUACCCUGUCCUGUGGCUCAAUUUACCCAAUAACAGGGGUAAGUUGUGCUAAGAGAAAACAAGCUAUGUUUUCCAAACUGUAACGUUUACAUGAAUUCUGAAUAUUUCCAGGGAUACACAACAUCCUGAAAUAUAUGUAGCCUAGAUAUCUUUGUUAGAAAGAAUACUAUAUUUCCCUUGACAAAGUGAUGCUGAAUGUAAAAAAUGGCUCAAUUUACCCCACUUUCCCCUAGAUUGCAGGCAGUGGGUGGGAUAGAUUGUGAUUGCGAAUGAUGUCUGGCAAACCUAUAGGGGCACUCUUCAAAAAAGCACAGUCCUAGAUUGCACCUCAGGGAACGAGGAGGACUUUGGUGCAGCUUUCAGUCGCAGGAUUCUUUCUAUUAUCAGUCCGUGCUCAGUCUUGCAAGGGAAUACAUCAGCUCCUCGACUCACCUUACCGUUUGGGUUUAAGGCAGAAAUCCAGGAGACACCAUGGGAGGCAAGCUGAGCAAGAGGAAGAAGGGGUACGAUGUCAGCGACCCAAAGGACAAGAAGGAGGAGAUUACUGUGGCUGCUGUGAGUGCCGUUGAGGCCGUGGCCCAUGCCGUGGAGAGCAAAGCACCAGCUCCGGUCGCUGAGUUGGCAGCGAAGACUGCUCCUAAGGUGUCUGCUGAAGUGGAGGGAGCAGUGGAGUCGGCAGCGGUAGCCAUCACAGAAGCGACAGAAGAGGCCCUGUCAGCUAUAGAGGCAGUGGCCAAGGGGGCCACCGCAGAGCCAGCGGCUGUACCAGAUGAACCCGUGGCAGCACCUGGAGAACCAGCGCCAGCAGCAAAGGAACCAGUGGCUUCAGAAGAACCAGCUGCAGCACCAGAGGACCCAGCGUCAGCUGCAGCACCAGAAGAACCUGCAGCCCCAGAAAAGCCAGCGGUGGCACCGGAAGAACCUGCGCCAGCAGCAGAAGAACCAGUGGCUUCAGGAGAACCAGCUGCAGCACCAGAGGACCCAGCGCCAGCUGCAGCACCAGAAGAACCUUCAGCCUCAGAAGAGCCAGUGGCAGCACCGGAAGAACCUGCAGCAGUAGCAGAGGAACCAGCCGCAGCUCCAGAAGAGCUUGCAGCUCCAGAAGAGCCCGUGGCAGCACCGGAAGAACCUGCAGCAGCUGAGGAACCAGCAGCAUCACCAGAGGAACCUGCGGCAGCACCAGAGGAACCUGCGGCAGCACCAGAUAAAACAAAGGCACCGGAAGAACCAGCGGCACUAGAGGAACCAGCGGCUGCACCAAAAGAGCCUGCAGUGGAAGAGCCUGUACCAGAAGAGUCUGCAACAGCACCAAAAGAACCUGCACCAAAAGAGCCCGCAGUGGAAAAGCCUCCACCAGAAGAGCCUGCGGCAGCACCAAAAGAGCCUGCACCAGAAGAGCCUGAGGCAGCACCAAAAGAGCCUGCACCAGAAGAGCCUGAGGUAGCCUCUGUGGAGCUAGCUGCAGUACCAGAAAAGGCUUCUGAGGCUACAGAACAAGCCACAGAGGUGACAGCAGAGAUUACAGACACUACAGAACCAGAGCCUGCUGCUCCAGAGCCUGAAACAGAGACUGUUACAGGGAAGGCCCCAGAACCUGAGGCUGUGGUCGAGGCACCAGUAGAGGCAGAAGCAGCUUCAUCCGCCCCGGAGGAGGAGCCUGCAUCAGUUGCAGAAGCCGUGUCAGAGUCAGCCACAGAGGCAGCCGCAGAGCCAGAGGCAGAAUCCAUCCCACAACCAGCCGCUGAAGAGCUCCCCCUACCUAUAGAAGAAUCCGUAGCAGAGCUUGAAUCUGAAGCUGCUGAUGCAGUAACUGAAGCAGCAGAGCCUGAGGCUGCCGACAUUGCAGAACCCAUCCCGGAGAUCAUCAUUUCAGAAUCUGCUGCACCUGCGGCUGCAGAGGAGGCCAGCGCUGAGCAAGAGGAGGCUGUGCUGGACAACAAGGAAGUUGUUUCCGCAGUGGAGGCUACUGCUGAGCCUUCUGCCCCUGAGGUCAAUGGGGAGUGUCAGGAGCAGGCAGCCGAGCCGGCUGCCGUGUCUGCCCCGGAGCCACAGCAAAAGGAAUGUGUCAACGGCAUUGACAAGCCAGAGGAUGCCGUUGAAGUGCAAAGUGACUGCGAAUUAAAAAAGAACUUGAACCUGACUGGCGACAUCCAGAUUCCUGAGGCAAUCGGUGAGGCAAUAAGUCAGGCUGUAGACUUGGUCUGAAGCUAAUAUAAAUGUGAAGUCCCUAAUGAUCCGAAAAAAAACCUCCAACACAGGCUUCUGAAGAUAAAUAUAAAAAUGCCUGUUGUGGCAAAGGAGUUUCCGAUUAACCAAAAGGAAAUACAACCACUCAAGUGUAGAGAGGGGGAGUGAGAUACAUGUAGGAAGAGAUGUGAGACAUGGAUGCAGUGUGCCCCACUGAGUCUUUGUGCCCCAUAUGUCAUUGCAGAAGGGCAGCCUGUGUUUGCAGUAUUUGUGGUGAGAUGAAAGCCAGCGAAAUUUGAGGGAUGAGUAUAGGAAAACCGGAAACAAAACUGGACAACAGAGCAAAAAAUGUGACAUUGGAAAUGUUGAAUGGAAUGAAUAGUCUUGUCUUUGUGUGGGAGGCUGAUGAAUAUUAAAAAUGUUUUUUUGUAAUAGCAUUCAAUAAUGAUCUAAUUUAGACUUUCACAUAUCCUUUCCUUAACUAUACGAAAAAAUAAUGGAUGAAAAGUUUUGGCCUUUUAUAGUGGUGCAAACAGUGAGGAAUGUUCAUUAAUGGCUUGGAAUAGACAAUAAAAAAAGACUGUUAUACCUGAUUGUUCUUUUGUUCUUAUGUCUUCUAUAUCAAUUAGGCAAAAGUCAUUUGACAAAAAGCCUUAUUGUAUAAUGACGGGUCAUUUUAGUCAAUUUUAACAUGUUACAAUUAUUUCGACUGUAUUUUAAGAUACCUUUAUGAUUGAUUAUAAUAAGUAACCCUCAGUAAACCCUAGGUGCAAAAAAUUGAAAUCUUUUAUAACUGAAAUCAGUCCAUUGCUUUAUUGUUGUUGGCUGAUAGAUUGAGUGCACCAGUAUCAGCAGUAGGAGACAAUAUCUACAGGACAUCAUUCAUUUCAAACUUCUACAGUUACAUACAGACCAGGUGUCUUUUGGGUUAGAGGUCGCCUGAUUGUAUUACCUUUAGAACAACGUCCCUAAGGUCUUCGGCCUUGCAAAUAUUUUCUUUGGUGGAGCUUGGCUUGCCUGUGCGUUUCUUUGAAAAAUAUGACAAUGUUAAUGCAUGCAGACAGAGAUCAUUUCAUAGGUCGUCUGUUCCUCUACCUCUUACAUCAUAAUAACCCAUCUCACUGGAACUUCAAGCUGUGGUAGGCAGGCAGCACCAUAGAAAUAUAAUGAAUAGAGAGGGCAUGGAAGCUCUAACCCUGGCAAAAGAUGCAGUAAAGAGGUCAAUGGAACUUGACCCAAACAAUGGAAAUGCCAUGGAAACACGGGGGAAAUAUGCUGUUGGGGAAAGAUCCCAAAUCUCCUCAUUGGCCCCUAGCAAAAUUUUCCUGCAUUUAGGCUAUUGUUUAUAUGUGUAUUUCACACUAGGUUGAGGUAAAAAUCUGAAUAUAAUGUUUCUAUAGAUGCCAACCCCAAAGCAUUUUCUUGACAUCGUCACCAAUCAACAGCAUUGCAGUUAAAAAACGACUUUGACUGCCACCACCAAUUUCUGUAUGCUAGCUAUGCUACCAGCUUACACAAACGGGAGUUAGCAUUUAGGAGUCACUUCUUCUAAACUGGAAAAGGAACAACUUCUAAAUGUUAUGCAGGAAAAACAGCCAAAUAUAUCCAAAUUGGACUUUAGUAACCAUAUUGUGGGCCUGUUACAUUACAUUUACAUUUACAUUACAUUUAAGUCAUUUAGCAGACGCUCUUAUCCAGAGCGACUUACAAUACAUCAAUCAUGACGGAUUUGAUGAAUAUCUACUUUGUUAUAUCAGAUUUGUUGAAUGUGCGCCAAUCCUGCAUCCUUAUUCUAUCCCCCACUGUCUGUGUUCCAUUGACCUCUUUACUGCAUUCAUUUGACUGGUAAACUCAUGAGUACACUCUCAAUGGCUGUCUGGUAUUGUGAUGCAAUUAUUUCCAUGGUAAUUUGGAAUGGUCUGUCAACUGAUGCUGGAUUGCCAUGGUGAUGUAGAAUGUUCAUUAAAAUUAUGCUAACUGAUGUAGCUAAUACAAUAUAAUGUAUUUUUUGUAAUGUCAGUGAGUUGACUCAACAAAUCACAG